rnacentral:rRNA from 1 species
CCUACGGGUGGCAGCAGUGAGGAAUAUUGGUCAAUGGACGAGAGUCUGAACCAGCCAAGUAGCGUGAAGGAUGACUGCCCUAUGGGUUGUAAACUUCUUUUAUAAAGGAAUAAAAUGAUGCACGUGUGCCUUUUUGUAUGUACUUUAUGAAUAAGGAUCGGCUAACUCCGUGCCAGCAGCCGCGGUAAUACGGAGGAUCCGAUCGUUAUCCGGAUUUAUUGGGUUUAAAGGGAGCGUAGAUGGGUUGUUAAGUCAGUUGUGAAAGUUUGCGGCUCAACCGUAAAAUUGCAAUUGAUACUGGCAGUCUUGAGUACAGUUGAGGUAGGCGGAAUUCGUGGUGUAGCGGUGAAAUGCUUAGAUAUCACGAAGAACCCCGAUUGCGAAGGCAGCUUACUAAACUGUGACUGACAUUGAUGCUCGAAAGUGUGGGUAUCAAACAGGAUUAGAUACCCGUGUAGUC